rnacentral:rRNA from 1 species
CUUCCGCCGGCGACCGGCGCACGGGUGAGUAACACGUAUGCGACCUGCCCCCCGCAGGGGGAUAACCGGGAGAAAUCCCGACUAAUACCGCGUAACGCCGCGGACCUGCAUGGGUCUGCGGCCAAAGGAAGCGAUUCCGGCGGGGGAUGGGCAUGCGGCGCAUUAGCUAGUCGGCGGGGUAACGGCCCACCGAGGCGACGAUGCGUAGGGGUUCUGAGAGGAAGGUCCCCCACACUGGUACUGAGACACGGACCAGACUCCUACGGGAGGCAGCAG